AGUUUGAUCCUGGCUCAGAGCGAACGUUAGCGGCGGGCUUAACACAUGCAAGUCGAACGCGGAAAGGGAUUCGUACCCCGGUAGCGUGGCGUCCGGGUGAGUAACACGUAGGAAACCUACCCUCGAGCGGGGGAUAACGUUCCGAAAGGAACGCUAAUACCGCAUAAGACCACGUCGGCUCCGGCCGACGAGGUCAAAGAUGGCCUCUGUACACAAGCUAUCACUUGAGGAUGGUCCUGCGGCGCAUCAGCUAGUUGGUGGGGUAAUGGCCUACCAAGGCGAAGACGCGUAGCUGGUCUGAGAGGAUGAUCAGCCACACUGGCACUGAAACACGGGCCAGACUCCUACGGGAGGCAGCAGUGGGGAAUAUUGGUCAAUGGGCGCAAGCCUGAACCAGCCACGCCGCGUGAGUGAUGAAGGCCUUCGGGUUGUAAAGCUCUGUGGGGAGGGAAGAAAACGGCCAGUAAGAAACGACUGGUCCUUGACGGUACCUCCUUAGCAAGCACCGGCUAACUCUGUGCCAGCAGCCGCGGUAA
rnacentral:rRNA from 1 species